CACACGUGCUACAAUGGGUGGUACAAAGAGAAGCCAACUCGCGAGAGCGCGCCAAUCUCAAAAAGCCAUCCUCAGUUCGGAUUGGAGUCUGCAACUCGACUCCAUGAAGUUGGAAUCGCUAGUAAUCGCGGAUCAGCAUGCCGCGGUGAAUACGUUCCCGGGCCUU
rnacentral:rRNA from 1 species